CACGUAGGGGGCUAGCGUUGUCCGGAUUUAUUGGGCGUAAAGAGCGUGUAGGCGGCCAGGUAGGUCUGGUGUGAAAACUCGAGGCUUAACCUCGAGAUGUCAUCGGAAACCAUUUGGCUAGAGUCCGGAAGAGGAGAGUGGAAUUCCUGGUGUAGCGGUGAAAUGCGCAGAUAUCAGGAAGAACACCAGUGGCGAAAGCAGCUCUCUGGGACGGUACUGACGCUGAGACGCGAAAGCGUGGGGAGCGAACAGG
rnacentral:rRNA from 1 species